rnacentral:rRNA from 1 species
UUUUAAAGCUUGCUUUUGAAAGGUUAGCGGCGGACGGGUGAGUAACACGUGGGCAACCUGCCCUAUAGUUUGGGAUAACUCCGGGAACCGGGGCUAAUACCGGAUAAUACAAUUUAACUCCUGUUAGAUUGUUGAAAGAUGGUUUCGGCUAUCGCUAUAGGAUGGGCCCGCGGCGCAUUAGCUAGUUGGUAGGGUAACGGCCUACCAAGGCGACGAUGCGUAGCCGACCUGAGAGGGUGAUCGGCCACACUGGGACUGAGACACGGCCCAGACUCCUACGGGAGGCAGCAGUAGGGAAUCUUCCACAAUGGACGAAAGUCUGAUGGAGCAACGCCGCGUGAGUGAAGAAGGUUUUCGGAUCGUAAAACUCUGUUGUAAGGGAAGAACAAGUACAGUAGUAACUGGCUGUACCUUGACGGUACCUUAUUAGAAAGCCACGGCUAACUACGUGCCAGCAGCCGCGGUAAUACGUAGGUGGCAAGCGUUGUCCGGAAUUAUUGGGCGUAAAGCGCGCGCAGGCGGUCCUUUAAGUCUGAUGUGAAAGCCCUCGGCUCAACCGAGGAGGGUCAUUGGAAACUGGAGGACUUGAGUGCAGAAGAGGAAAGUGGAAUUCCAGUGUAGCGGUGAAAUGCGUAGAGAUUUGGAGGACACCAGUGGCGAAGCGACUUCUGGUCUGUAACUGACGCUGAGGCGCGAAAGCGUGGGGAGCAAACAGGAUAGAUACCCUGGUAGUC